GCCGGGCCCCUCAGCACUGGAACUGUAGGGUGGAACUCCGCAGGGACGCCAGUCUCGCCUUUGUCCGGUGUGGCUGCCCCCUCACUUUUGCCCUUGCCUCUGCCCCUGCACGGUUUCGGUGGUUCUCUCUUCCACCGGUCUUGGGUCGUUGUUUAGCCAAGAGACAGAGCAGUGAAAUGGAAAGACAUAUCCUUGAUUUGCAGAUAAGGAGAAACUAUGCAGUUGUCUUGAAUUGUCUUUGGAAGAGAAAGCGGAUGCUGAAGAGAGGAGCAGGAAGCUGAAGGAGCUGCAUGGUUGAAACUCAUUCUGUCCCUUGUCAAGUGCAGUUUUCUUCUUAGCAGACUUUUGCUUUUCAGUCUAAUUCAAUGGUUUGUGCCACCUCUGCCUCUCCCCAAGUGCUGGUGCUCUGAGAUGGGGCACAGUCAGUCCAGGUUUGCGUUUUUGCUUAAUUUGACUCUAAACCAGGAUUUGGCAUCUCCUCUAAUGAGCUGAGGUUGUUAUGAAGGCACUGGAUCAUGUAAUCAACUGAGAUUUCAAUAAAUCCCUUAAUCCUAAA